UCUAAUGCCCUUUUUAUGAUG
rnacentral:siRNA from 1 species